AGAGUUUAUAGCUAAUUUAAGUUUAUUGUUUACGUUAAUAAGAUACCUUUCCGGUUUUGCUC
rnacentral:tRNA from 1 species